rnacentral:rRNA from 1 species
AUAUGGUCUAUUAGCUCAGUCGGUAGAGCACCUGACUUUUAAUCAGGGUGUCCCGCGUUCGAGUCGCGGAUAGAUCACCAAAAAGGUGGCGACAUAGCCAAGUGGUAAGGCAGUGGACUGCAACUCCUUGAUCCCCAGUUCGAAUCUGGGUGUCGCCUCCAAUAAAAUGCGCUCAUAGCUCAACUGGAUAGAGUGUCUGACUACGAAUCAGAAGGUUAGGGGUUCGAGUCCCUUUGGGCGCACCAUAUAAAUAGCGAGGGAUUAUAGCUCAGCUGGGAGAGCACCUGCCUUACAAGCAGGGGGUCACAGGUUCGAGCCCUGUUAAUCCCACCAGUGCAAACCUCUAGUAAUUUUACUAGGGGUUUUAUUUUUGAUUGAAAAAGUUUUUAUAUUUAGGAGGUAAGAAACUUGUAUAUAGUAAUAGGAAAUGAAAUAGUUGAUAGUGAAGAACUUAAAGUAAUUAUAGAUAAAAAUAGUAAAUUUAAAGUAGAAAAGGAUUUAAGUAAAAGCACAAAAAGAGAAGAUGUAAUAGCAUAUCAGUUAAGUAUAGAUUUAAAUUAUUUAGAUUCUCUUAUAAGUGAGCAAUGUAAUUUAGCUAGUUUAUCUGAUGAAGAGAAAUUUGAUGAAUAUAUGACUUUGUCUGAUGAACUUGCACUGAAUUUAGAAGAACUUAUGCCAAAAUAUACAAUAAUAAAUGCUAGAGCAUAUAAAUUGGAUGAGGUAGAUGGAGUUGUAAAAAUAAUCUUGGCUGUAGCAUAUGCAGAUUUAGGACACUUAAAACUUUCUGAUGUAGUAAUGAGGAUAUCUAGACAAGUAGAUUAGGAUACGAAUGAAUAUGAACUAUAUUAAAAAAAUGUAUAAAAUCNGUGGGUGCAUAGCUCAGCUGGAUAGAGCAACGCCCUUCUAAGGCGUGUGUCCGGGGUUCGAAUCCCUGUGCGCUCACCACAUAUAUAUUGGGGAUUAGCCAAGUCGGUAAGGCACAUGACUUUGACUCAUGUAUGCGUAGGUUCGAGUCCUGCAUCCCCAGCCAAAUAAAAAUAUGGUCUAUUAGCUCAGUCGGUAGAGCACCUGACUUUUAAUCAGGGUGUCCCGCGUUCGAGUCGCGGAUAGAUCACCAAUGGAGAGGUGUCCGAGUGGUUUAAGGAGCUGGUCUUGAAAACCAGUGACUUCGAAAGGGGCCGUGGGUUCGAAUCCCACCCUCUCCGCCAAAAAAUAACUGAAUUUGGAGAAGUACUCAAGUGGCUCAAGAGGAUCCCCUGCUAAGGGAUUAGGCUGGGUAACCGGUGCGAGGGUUCGAAUCCCUCCUUCUCCGCCAUUCAAAAACGAGGUGUAGCGCAGUUUGGUAGCGCACAUGGUUUGGGACCAUGGGGCCGGGGGUUCGAGUCCCUUCACCUCGACCAACUUAGCUUUUAGUUCGGUUGGUUAGAGUGCCCAACUCAUAACCAGAGAUUCUGGGGAUUGAGUCCAUGAAGGUUAUUCUUCAUAGGGGUGUAGCUCAGUUGGUAGAGCGUCGGUCUCCAAAACCGUGCGCCGGGGGUUCGAGUCCCUCCACCCCUGCCAAAUAAAAAGGACUUGAAAAAAGUUGGGUUUUAGAGUAGUAUAAGAUAGUAAAUAAGAUUUCGAGGUGUAGCGCAGUUUGGUAGCGCACAUGGUUUGGGACCAUGGGGCCGGGGGUUCGAGUCCCUUCACCUCGACCAAGAAAAGGGCCUAUAGCUCAGGUGGUUAGAGCGCACGCCUGAUAAGCGUGAGGUCGCUGGUUCGAGUCCAGCUAGGCCCACCAUUUGCCCAGAUAGCUCAGUCGGUAGAGCAGGGGACUGAAAAUCCCCGUGUCGGUGGUUCGAUUCCGCCUCUGGGCACCAGAAUGUGGCGGUAUAGCUUAGUUGGCUAGAGCGUUCGGUUCAUACCCGAAAGGUCAUAGGUUCGACUCCUAUUACCGCUACUAGAAUUUAAUGUGGGCCAUUAGCUCAGUUGGUUAGAGCGCCCGGCUCAUAACCGGUAGGUCUGGGGUUCGAGUCCCUGAUGGCCCACCACAUUAAAUUAAUUAAUAUAAAUUCGAGGUGUAGCGCAGUUUGGUAGCGCACAUGGUUUGGGACCAUGGGGCCGGGGGUUCGAGUCCCUUCACCUCGACCAAUAUAAGGUGGGUAUAGCUCAGUUGGUUAGAGCGCCAGAUUGUGGCUCUGGAGGUCGUGAGUUCGACUCUCAUUAUCCACCCCAACUCAUAUGGUCUAUUAGCUCAGUCGGUAGAGCACCUGACUUUUAAUCAGGGUGUCCCGCGUUCGAGCCGCGGAUAGAUCACCAAAAAGGUGGCGACAUAGCCAAGUGGUAAGGCAGUGGACUGCAACUCCUUGAUCCCCAGUUCGAAUCUGGGUGUCGCCUCCAAAAUAUUCCAAGGUAGCUCAACGGUGGAGCAACCGGCUGUUAACCGGUAGGCUGUGGGUUCGAGCCCCACCCUUGGAGCCAAAAAAAGCCGAAGUGGCGGAACUGGCAGACGCACAGGACUUAAAAUCCUGCGGGAUUUACCUCUCGUACCGGUUCGAUUCCGGUCUUCGGCACUUAUAAANAAGUAGGCAAAUCCGCUUUGAUAAUGCUGGGAUGUGAUGGGGAGCGAAAUUUAGUAGCGAAGUAGCUGAUUUCACACUGUCAAGAAAAGUCUCUAUCGAGGUUAAAGGUACCCGUACCGCAAACCGACACAGGUGGGUGAGGAGAGUAUCCUAAGGCCAGCGAGAGAACUGUUGUUAAGGAACUCGGCAAAAUGACCCCGUAACUUAGGGAUAAGGGGUGCCACCAUCAGGUGGCCGCAGAGAAUAGGCCCAAGCGACUGUUUACCAAAAACAUAGGUUUCUGCUAAGUCGCAAGACGAUGUAUAGGAGCUGACGCCUGCCCGGUGCUGGAAGGUUAAGGGGAUCUGUUAGAGCAAUCGAAGCAGUGAACUUAAGCCCCAGUAAACGGCGGCCGUAACUAUAACGGUCCUAAGGUAGCGAAAUUCCUUGUCGGGUAAGUUCCGACCCGCACGAAAGGCGUAACGAUUUGGGCACUGUCUCAACAACAGACUCGGUGAAAUUGUAAUUCCGGUGAAGAUGCCGGAUACCUGCGACAGGACGGAAAGACCCCAUGGAGCUUUACUGUAGCUUGACAUUGGGUCUUGGUACUACAUGUACAGGAUAGGUGGGAGGCUUUGAAACCAGGACGCCAGUUUUGGCGGAGCCAUCCUUGGGAUACCACCCUUGUAGUACUGGGACUCUAACCAUAGGCCAUGAAUCUGGUCUUGGGACACUGUCAGGUGGGCAGUUUGACUGGGGCGGUCGCCUCCCAAAAGGUAACGGAGGCGCUCAAAGGUUCUCUCAGUACGGUCGGAAAUCGUACGUAGAGUGUAAAGGCAAAAGAGAGCUUGAUUGCAAGACAUACAGGUCGAGCAAGGAUGAAAAUCGGACUUAGUGAUCCGGUGGUUCUGCGUGGAAGGGCCAUCGCUCAACGGAUAAAAGCUACCCUGGGGAUAACAGGCUUAUCUCCCCCAAGAGUCCACAUCGACGGGGAGGUUUGGCACCUCGAUGUCGGCUCAUCACAUCCUGGGGCUGUAGUAGGUCCCAAGGGUUGGGCUGUUCGCCCAUUAAAGUGGUACGCGAGCUGGGUUCAGAACGUCGUGAGACAGUUCGGUCCCUAUCCGUCGCAGGCGUAGGAAAUUUGAGAAGACCUGUCCUUAGUACGAGAGGACCGGGAUGGACGUACCUCUGGUGUACCAGUUGUUCUGCCAAGGGCAUGGCUGGGUAGCUAUGUACGGAAUGGAUAAGCGCUGAAAGCAUCUAAGCGCGAAGCCAACUUCAAGAUAAGAUUUCCCACCGCAAGGGUAAGACCCCAGAAAGACUAUCUGGUUGAUAGGUCGAAGGUGUAAGUGCAGCAAUGUAUUUAGCUUAUCGAUACUAAUAGGUCGAGGACUUGACCAA